UACAGAGGUGGCAAGCGUUGUUCGGAAUUACUGGGCGUAAAGGGCGCGUAGGCGGCCUCUUUAGUCAGACGUGAAAUCCCCCGGCUUAACCUGGGAACUGCGUCUGAUACUGGGAGGCUAGAGUUCGGGAGAGGGAUGCGGAAUUCCAGGUGUAGCGGUGAAAUGCGUAGAUAUCUGGAGGAACACCGGUGGCGAAGGCGGCAUCCUGGACCGACACUGACACUGAGGAGCGAAAGCCAGGGGAGCAAACGGG
rnacentral:rRNA from 1 species